UACGUAGGGUGCGAGCGUUAAUCGGAAUUACUGGGCGUAAAGCGUGCGCGGGCGGUUAUGUAAGACAGGUGUGAAAUCCCCGGGCUUAACCUGGGAACUGCAUUUGUGACUGCAUAGCUAGAGUACGGUAGAGGGGGAUGGAAUUCCGCGUGUAGCAGUGAAAUGCGUAGAUAUGCGGAGGAACACCGAUGGCGAAGGCAAUCCCCUGGACCUGUACUGACGCUCAUGCACGAAAGCGUGGGGAGCAAACAGG
rnacentral:rRNA from 1 species